AGAACGAACGCUGGCGGCAUGCCUAAUACAUGCAAGUCGAACGAACUCUUCGGAGUUAGUGGCGCACGGGUGCGUAACGCGUGGGAAUCUGCCCCUUGGUUCGGAAUAACAGUUGGAAACGACUGCUAAUACCGGAUGAUGACGAAAGUCCAAAGAUUUAUCGCCAAGGGAUGAGCCCGCGUAGGAUUAGCUAGUUGGUGAGGUAAGGGCUCACCAAGGCAAACGAUCCUUAGCUGGUCUGAGAGGACGAUCAGCCACACUGGGACUGAGACGACGGCCAGACUCCUACGGGAGGCGGCAGUAGGGAAUUUUGGACAAUGGGACGAAAGCCUGAUCCAGCAAUGCGCGUGCAAGGAA
rnacentral:rRNA from 1 species